rnacentral:misc_RNA from 1 species
GGAGAAUCUCACUGCUCCUUUUGAUUUCAAUCGCUUUCUUGAGAUCAUGUCCAAGCACAUGAAGCCUGAGCCCUUCGAUCGCCAGCUUCGCGACGCCUUUAAGGUUCUCGAUAAGGACAACACCGGCUAUGUCCUCGUGUCGGAGCUCCGACACAUUUUGACGAGUAUAGGUGAGAAGCUUGAGCCGUCGGAGUUCGAUGAGUGGAUUCGAGAAGUUGAGGUUGGAUCCGAUGGAAGAAUUCGGUAUGAAGAUUUCAUUGCUCGAAUGGUGGCCAAAUGAGGAGGGAAGUAAUGCAAAAUUGGUUUUCUGUGCUUUACUGGAAUGAUUUCUGAAGUAAUUUGUGGUGAUCUUUGUUGUUGUUUCUUUCUCUUUUCUUUUUCCCCUUUCCAAUUUCUGUUAAUUGGUUUCAGAUUACAAGACUUGGUUGGAUUUUGGUGGGAUGGAUGCGGGUGAUGUUCGCAUACUUUCCCAAGCAAUGCUAAUAUUAUUUGGAAAGAUUUAGGAUUAUGAUGAGAUAUGUCUGGAUGGAUUCGAGGUGUAUUGAAAACUGUGGUUUUCUGGGUAACUUAGAAUUUGGUGUUUUGUAUGUGUUUCUUAGCUUGAAGUGCAAAAAAAUGAGUAGCUUCUCCCACGAUUUAUUGUCUUGCAAUGGUUGUUUCUUG